rfam:Loxodonta africana cont3.12400, whole genome shotgun sequence.
ACCUAGCGGACGCAAGGGGCCCGGAAGAGGGUUCUGGAAAAGGGGGGUGUGGUGGGUGCUACCGCCGAAGAAAUGGGGG